rnacentral:sRNA from 1 species
UUUAUGUUAAUCCAAAAUCACACACAUAUCAUUAACUGAUUAUCGGGGUGCUGUUAGAUAAUCUUUAACGGUCGAUUUAUCAGGGUAUGUGGAGGCUAAAC